rnacentral:rRNA from 1 species
UAGGGAAUCUUCGGCAAUGGACGAAAGUCUGACCGAGCAACGCCGCGUGAGUGAAGAAGGUUUUCGGAUCGUAAAACUCUGUUGUUAGAGAAGAACAAGGACGUUAGUAACUGAACGUCCCCUGACGGUAUCUAACCAGAAAGCCACGGCUAACUACGUGCCAGCAGCCGCGGUAAUACGUAGGUGGCAAGCGUUGUCCGGAUUUAUUGGGCGUAAAGCGAGCGCAGGCGGUUUCUUAAGUCUGAUGUGAAAGCCCCCGGCUCAACCGGGGAGGGUCAUUGGAAACUGGGAGACUUGAGUGCAGAAGAGGGGAGUGGAAUUCCAGGUGUAGCGGUGAAGUGCGUAGAAAUAUGGAGGAACACCAGUGGCGAAGGCGGCUCUCUGGUCUGUAACUGACGCUGAGGCUCGAAAGCGUGGGGAGCAAACAGG